AGUUAUUGGCCUCUUUUUUUUUUUUUUUUAAAUAAUUUCUUUAAUAAAUAGUAUAUAUGUUGGUAUGUACUUUUCAACAAUACAUUCGUGUUCUAUACACGUCUUACGUUUUCUUUAAAAAAUAAACAUACAAUUGUCGUAUUGUAUGUGUACGUACGUAUUUAUAAUGUUUUAUACACAUAUUUUGUACAAAAUUUUCAGUAAGACACACAAAAUUCACGUAAUUUACAAAUAAUUCUCACAUAUUAUUGAAGAAGAAUAACAUAUGUUAUAAAAAUUAUAUUAAAAUAUCAUAUAGUGGAAGAUUAAUAUCUACUUUGUAUAUGUUCCAAAUUAAUAUCUAUAAGGUACAAACUAAAGAAAUUAAGAGGGUCCUUUUUUAUUAUUAAUUUUUUAAUUAAAUAGUAUAGCCGGUGGCUAUAUUUGUUUUGACAUGUGGCUUUAAUCGAUAAAGGUUCUUCUUUAAAUAAAUAAAUAACUCUUCACAGCUAUACUCCAUGUUUUAAAUUAUUUUUAAAAAGACAUGUUGACACGUGGUGCCUAAUGGUGUGGGGGUCCUCUUUUUUAUAUUUUAAAAAAGUAAAGCCUAACGGCUAUACCCAGUUUUUAAAUUUUU
rnacentral:lncRNA from 1 species